rnacentral:rRNA from 1 species
UACGGAGGGUGCAAGCGUUAUCCGGAUUUACUGGGCUUAAAGGGUGUGUAGGCGGGCUGUUAAGUCAGUGGUGAAAUCUCCGGGCUCAACCCGGAAACUGCCAUUGAUACUAAUGGUCUUGAAUUUUGUUGAGGUAGGCGGAAUAAGUCAUGUAGCGGUGAAAUGCAUAGAUAUGACUUAGAACACCAAUUGCGAAGGCAGCUUGCUAAACAAAUAUUGACGCUGAGGCACGAAAGCGUGGGGAUCAAACAGG